AAUCAACGCUGGCGGCGUGCCUAACACAUGCAAGUCGAACGCGAAAGGGGGCUUCGGCUCCUGAGUAGAGUGGCGUCCGGGUGAGUAACACGUAGGUAAUCUGCCUUCGGGUGGGGGAAUAACCAGUCGAAAGAUUGGCUAAUACCGCAUAAUGCAGCGGCACCUAAUGGUGAUUAGUUGUUAAAGCGGGGGAUCGCAAGACCUCGCGCCUGAAGAGGAGCCUGCGGCAGAUUAGCUAGUUGGUGAGGUAAUGGCUCACCAAGGCUUCGAUCUGUAGCUGGUCUGAGAGGACGGCCAGCCACACU
rnacentral:rRNA from 1 species